ACUCCUACGGGAGGCAGCAGUGGGGAAUAUUGGACAAUGGGCGAAAGCCUGAUCCAGCAAUGCCGCGUGAGUGAUGAAGGCCCUAGGGUUGUAAAGCUCUUUUACCCGGGAAGAUAAUGACUGUGACCGGGGAAGAAUAAGCCCCCGGCUUAACUUCCGUGCCAGCAGCCGCGGUAAUACGGAGGGGCGUAGCGUUGUUCGGAAUUACUGGGCGUAAAGCGCACGUAGGCGGCUUUGUAAGUCAGAGGUGAAAGCCUGGAGCUCAACUCCAGAACUGCCUUUGAGACUGCAUCGCUUGAAUCCAGGAGAGGUCAGUGGAAUUCCGAGUGUAGAGGAUGAAAUUCGUAGAUAUUCGGAAGAACACCAGUGGCGAAGGCGGCUGACUGGACUGGUAUUGACGCUGAGGUGCG
rnacentral:rRNA from 1 species